ACCUAAUGCUGACUAAAGGAAAAAGUUCAGUUUAGGGUUUAAAACCCUAAUGCUGACUAAAGGAAAAAGUUUAGUUUAGGGUUUAAAACCCUAAUGCUGACUAAAGGAAAGAGUUCAGUUUAGGGUUUAAAACCCUAAUGUUGACUAAAGGAAAAGAGUUCAGUUUAGGGUUUAAAACCCUAAUGCUGACUGAAGGAAAAAGUUCAGUUUAGGGUUUAAAACCUUAAUGCUGACUAAAGGAAAAGUUCAGUUUAGGGUUUAAAACCCUAAUGCUGACUAAAGGAAAAAGUUCAGUUUAGGGUUUAAAACCCUAAUGCUGACUAAAGGAAGAAAAAAAAAAGUUCAGUUUAGGGUUUAAAACCCUAAUGCUGACUAAAGGAAAAAGUUUAGUUUAGGGUUUAAAACCCUAAUGCUGACUAAAGGAAAAAGUUUAGUUUAGGGUUUAAAACCUUAAUGCUGAUUGAAGGAAAAGAGUUCAGUUUAGGGUUUAAAACCCUAAUGCUGACUAAAGGAAAAAGAGUUCGGUUUAGGGUUUAAAACCAUAAUGCUGACUGAAGGAAAGAGUUCAGUUUAGGGUUUAAAACCCUAAUGCUGACUAAAGGAAAGAGUUCAGUUUAGGGUUUAAAACCCUAAUGCUGUCUAAAGGAAAAGUUCAGUUUAGGGUUUAAAACCCUAAUGCUGACUAAAAGAAAAGUUCAGUUUAGGGUUUAAAACCCCUAAUGCUGACUAAAGUAAAAAGUUCAGUUUAGGGUUUAAAGCCCUAAUGCUGACUAAAGGAAAAAGUUCAGUUUAGGGUUUAAAACCCUAAUGCUGACUAAAGGAAAAGAGUUCAGUUUAGGGUUUAAAACCCUAAUGCUGACUAAAGGAAAAGAGUUCAGUUUAGGGUUUAAAACCCUAAUGCUGACUAAAGGAAAAGAGUUCAGUUUAGGGUUUAAAACCCUAAUGAUGACUAAAGGAAAAGUUCAGUUUAGGGUUUAAAACCCUAAUGCUGACUAAAGGAAAAGUUCAGUUUAGAGUUUAAAACCCUAAUGCUAACUAAAGGAAAGAGUUCAGUUUAGGGUUUAAAACCCUAAUGCUGACUAAAGGAAAGAGUUCAGUUUAGGGUUUAAAACCCUAAUGCUGUCUAAAGGAAAAGUUCAGUUUAGGGUUUAAAACCCUAAUGAUGACUAAAGGAAAAGAGUUCAGUUUAGGGUUUAAAACCCUAAUGCUGACUAAAGGAAAAGAGUUCAGUUUAGGGUUUAAAACCCUAAUGCUGACUAAAGGAAAAGAGUUUAGUUUAGGGUUUAAAACCCUAAUGCUGACUAAAGGAAAAGAGUUCAGUUUAGGGUUUAAAACCCGAAUGCUGACAAAAGGAAAAGAGCUCAGUUUAGGGUUUAAAACCCUAAUGCUGACUGAAGGAAAAAGUUCAGUUUAGGGUUUAAAACCCUAAUGCUAACUAAAGGAAAAGUUCAGUUUAGGGUUUAAAACCCUAAUGCUAACUAAAGGAAAGAGUUCAGUUUAGGGUUUAAAACCCUAAUGCUGACUAAAUGAAAAAGUUUAGUUUAAGGUUUAAAACCCUAAUGCUGACUG
rnacentral:lncRNA from 1 species